rnacentral:rRNA from 1 species
AAUAUUGCGCAAUGGAGGUAACUCUGACGCAGCGACGCCGCGUGAGCGAUGAAUGACUUCGGAACGUAAAUCUCUGUCCUUGGGGAAGAAGGGAGCCGUAAGGCUUCUUGAAGGUACUCUUGGAGGAAGCCUCGGCUAACUACGUGCACGCAGCCGCGGUAAUACGUAGGGGGCAAGCGUUGUCCGGAAUUAUUGGGCGUAAAGGGUGCGUAGGCGGCCCUUUAAGUCAGAUGUGAAAGCCCACGGCUUAACCGUGGGACUGCAUUUGAAACUGGAGGGCUUGAGUGUCGGAGAGGGCAGUGGAAUUCCCAGUGUAGCGGUGGAAUGCGUAGAUAUUGGGAGGAACACCAGUGGCGAAGGCGACUGCCUGGACGAUAACUGACGCUGAGGCACGAAAGCUAGGGGAGCAAACA